ACCUAAUGGACCAGCCUCCUCUGUGAACUUGUGGGAACAAACAAUAUUUAUAUCCAAAGGAAAAGAACACAAACAAUAUGUAUCCAACAGAGAACAGACCCACUGAAAUCAACAGGCAUAAGUCUGGGACUGAUCUGCACAUGACUUAGUUGGUUCAGGAAGAUGCUGAAUCCAUCAGGAAAAAACUGAGUCAGAUGGCGGGUAUGAAGCAAAAAAGUGGCCAGUUAGAUGCUUCCAGGAACAGCACCAUUCCUUACAGCAGAGAGAAAAGAAAAGGAAGACUGGAAACAACAGAAUCGUGUCCAAGGAAUAUGAAUGCAGAAAGUGAUAAUUAAACGGUUCGGCUUUCGUUUGACUCUGUACAGUAUAAUGUAUUUUUGAAGUAGCACUCGCAUUCAAAAUAGUACAAGGGUUUCACAGUCAUCCUAGUACCACCUAUAAAUGCUAUUUAUAGUGAUUGGUGUGUGUGUUAAAAAAAAGUGUGU